CUUGAUCGAGCCCAGCCACAGCGGCUCGGCGCGGUCCUGGCCGUAGGUGGCCAGCAGCGCCUGCGCCUC
rfam:Streptomyces yokosukanensis strain DSM 40224 genomic scaffold PRJNA299221_s002, whole genome shotgun sequence.